CAUGGGUAGAAAGCAGUGUCUGAGCAUAAAAGGUUUGCCUUAGAGUUUCCAUUGCCAUGAUAAAGCACCAUGACUAAAAGCUACUUGGGGGUUGAGCAGUUGAAGAGCUAAGGAAAAAAGAACUCAAGUCAGUGCAGUCCCAAGUGUUCCAGUGCAUGGAAGAGAGCCCAAGGCUGGCAGGCAGAGAGCAGAACUGAGAGUGUAAAACUGAAGAAGCAUUAGGAGUACAGAGACAGGAGGCAAACGUGGAGCAGCAUGUGACAGGCCAGGCUGAAAAGCAGCAAUCCUGGAGUGGAAAGUAUGGUGGGCAGCAAAGGCCUGAAGGGCGAUUCUAAGAAAGUAAUGCCUGUUGACAGGGUCUGGUGUGUCUGCUGCUGGUGAACAGAUAGGCCUUCAGCAAAGACAGAAACCAGACAUGAAAAAAAGGGCAUUGGUUUUCAACAUGGAUCUUAAAAUCACCCAGUGGUGUAGCAUAUAGAUGUGGCACUGAAAAACACAAGCACUGGAGUAGAAACGCUGAGAAUCUUGCACGGCAGUUGCUGAAUUUAUGCCAUGAGAUGGGAAAUAGAUCUUGAAGGCAAAUGAAUGCCCACACUUUGCCAUGACAGAGUCUUACUUCAUUCACGCAUGGGGUCAAACCAUUUUCUUCUACAUUUUAAUACUCAACUCAAGAUGAUCUAACUAGUUCUAAAUAUCAUAAAAGAUUCCCAGUCAGGUU